rnacentral:rRNA from 1 species
AUGUUGAGGGUGGCACCGGAGUUAAUGGCCAAAUGGGGUUCCUCGGCACCGAAGAGAAGGAUGCUGCAGCAACACGUACUGGUUGCAUUUCCCACCAGAGAAGAACUUAUGAAUGCGGCAUGGCCUUUUUCCAAUCUUAUGUCAAUUGGUCUUUGCUUUGUGGGCACUAGAAAGGAGACGAUCCUAUCCACUAUCACAAUGAAACAAGGGAAACAAUUCCUUGCAGUCAUCUAUAAGCAGCGGCGGCUGCAGCGACGGCGCCAGCGGCGGACGCAACGACGGCGACCGGAGCGGCGGCGGAUGCAACGACGGCGAUGGUGGCGGCUGCAGCGACGGCGCCGGCGGCGGACGCAACGACGGCGAUGGUGGCGGCUGUUUGCAGCGGCGCCAGCGACGGACGCAACGACGACGACGGUGGCGGCGAUGUGGACAGCUGGUGGCGGCAGAAACGCUUUAAGCAGAAGAGAUAGCGAGGAGGGAGACACCGCAGCGGCUUUCAUUGCGGAUAAUUUCGACCGGUAA